rnacentral:lncRNA from 1 species
AAUAAAAACUAAACUUAAUAAUAUAAACUAAUAAACUACAAAGAAUAAAUUAUUAGUUCAACUUAAAUUCUAUAACUGUAAUUAAAAUUAUAUAACAAAUUUGAAAAAAACAACUAAAACUAAAUGCACUAAAUAUAACUAAAACAAAUACAUAAUAUAAACUAAACUAAAUAAUAUAAACUAAAAUACUAAACUAAAUAAUGUAAACUAUACCCACUUACUACUACUACACAUAAUUAUUCCUUUUAAAUUUUUCACCUAUUGGUCUACCCCAAUAGAUUAUAUGAUGAUGGUCUACCCCAUACAUCGUAUUACUAACGUAUUAAAUAUAUUAUGACUAUCGGCCCUACACCGAUGGUUAUAAACGAAACUUUUGAUCGUGGUUCUACCCCAUAGAUCCCUUCUGUAUGCUAAAGGCCCUACACCUUUGGUAUUCUACGGAGCGGUGCAACUCCUUAAAUAAGCCUUUGCAAGAGCGGUUGAUUACUCUAUAAGUAAGCCUUAAAAUCACAAAUAUAACUUAUGUAUUUAUCCUUUCUAAUAUUCAAUCUAUCAAUAAUAGUUAUGUGUAGUUAGUAAUCGCUCGAUUUCAACCUUAUCCUCUUCCAGCCAUGACUGAACUGGGUGAGUGUUCUGUGCACUAAAGGCAGAAUACUCAGGUCGAAAGGACGCUGACGCACAGAUGUCUAGUGUGAUGUCGGCUAUUUAAUGUAAGGAAGAAUGAAAGGUGAGGGAUGAUUACAUUAUGAAUGAAGACGAAUGAAAGAGAAACUUAGAUCAGUUGUUAGCAAGAGCGAAAGCAGCGGAUUUUUCCUAGGAAAAAUCCUACGCUAAAAAGGGGGGUACUGUAACGUUGUACGUUAUAUUUUGAAUAUUUAAAAAUACUAGACUUGCUAUAUCUCGGCCGCGCGCCGCGAGCCGUGAGCCGUUGACGGGUGACGGAAACCGGUUCGGCGAACUAUCCCUCCUAUGAGGCGACGCGAGCAGAGCCGGCGGACAAUCGCGAGACGGUCACUAGCACGACGCCGCGAGCCGAUACAGUCUACUACUACUACUGGUCUAUGUACAUUUUUAACUCGCGAUUGCAUUGCAUAUAAUUUAAUCUGGAAUAAACUAUUGUGCUUUUAAAAUUGCAUUUAGAGUCAGUGUAUACCCCAGAUCGGGGUUCAAGUACCUGACUACCUCCAGUGCACCUACCGUAGUGCACCUACCCUAAGUGCACCUACCUACGCACCUGUCUACCUACGCGCCUGUCUACCUACGUGCCUGUGUCUACCUACGUGCCUGUGUCUACCUACGUGCCUGUGCCUACCUACGUGCCGCGCCUAUCUACGUGUCCUGCAUCUACCUGCGCGUCCGGCAUCUACUAGCGCGCUGCACACUUACCCCGCCUGACCGCUGCCGAGCUGCCUGACUAUACAGGGUAGUAGUGUUCUAUAGCGGGCCAGAACUUAACGCGAGCUCGAUUAUUCUAAACCCACUCCCGGCUCUGCCGAUCUUUUUGUGUAAUAUAGACUUUA